rnacentral:rRNA from 1 species
CACGAAGUUAGCCGAUCCUUUCUUACAGGGUACAUUCAUUGUGUUGUUCCCCUGCGACAGAGCUUUACGACCCGAAGGCCUUCAUCACUCACGCGGCGUCGCUGCAUCAGAGUUUCCUCCAUUGUGCAAUAUUCCCUACUGCUGCCUCCCGUAGGAGUCUGGACCGUGUCUCAGUUCCAGUGUGACUGAUCAUCCUCUCAGACCAGUUAAAGAUCGUCGCCUUGGUAGGCUAUUACCCCACCAACUAGCUAAUCUUACGCGGACUCAUCUUAGAGCGAAAACCUUUGACCUCUAGAACCUCGGUUCCUGUGGUCUUAUGCGGUAUUAGCUAAUCUUUCGACUAGUUAUCCCCCAUCUAAGGCAGAUUAUCCACGCGUUACUCACCCGUGCGCCACUAGUACCUCAACCCGAAAGCCUUUCCCCGUUCGACUUGCAUGUAUUAGGCACGCCGCCAGCGUUUGUCUGAGUCCAGGAUCAACUCU